UCCUGGCUAAAAUUUUACUAAAUGGAAAUACACUUAUGCAUAUCUUCAUCUAAUUUAGAGGGAUCAAUUCCAUCUUGACUCACACACCGACUUGAUAAGUACUUGACUGCACCCAAUAUCUUUCCAUCACUGAGUUAGAAACUCGGAUGGUUUGAUAUUAAAGUACAGUGAGUUACUUACAAAUCAUCAUGAUGGUCUC
rnacentral:lncRNA from 1 species